AGUGAACGCUGGCGGUAGGCCUAACACAUGCAAGUCGAACGGCAGCACAGUAAGAGCUUGCUCUUACGGGUGGCGAGUGGCGGACGGGUGAGGAAUACAUCGGAAUCUACUUUUUCGUGGGGGAUAACGUAGGGAAACUUACGCUAAUACCGCAUACGACCUACGGGUGAAAGCAGGGGAUCUUCGGACCUUGCGCGAUUGAAUGAGCCGAUGUCGGAUUAGCUAGUUGGCGGGGUAAAGGCCCACCAAGGCGACGAUCCGUAGCUGGUCUGAGAGGAUGGUCCGCCCCACUUGCACCGAGACACGGUCCAGGCCUCUUCGGGAGGCCACAGGUGGGAAUUAUUGACCAAUGGCGCAAGCCCGAUCCCGGCAUUCCGCCUUGGUUAAGGAGGCCUUCCGGGUUGUAAGCCCCUUUGUUGGGAAAGAAAAGCAGCAGGUUAAUACCCCGCUGUUCUGACGGUACCCAAAGAAUAAGCACCGGCUAACUUCGUG
rnacentral:rRNA from 1 species